rnacentral:tRNA from 1 species
GGAAUGGUCUAGUUGGUUAUGACGACUGCCUAACACGCAGUAGGUCCCGAGUUCGAUUCUCGGUUCCA